rnacentral:rRNA from 1 species
GAUUGAACGCUGGCGGCAGGCCUAACACAUGCAAGUCGAGCGGUAGAGAGGUGCUUGCACCUCUUGAGAGCGGCGGACGGGUGAGUAAUGCCUAGGAAUCUGCCUAGUGGUGGGGGAUAACGUUCGGAAACGGACGCUAAUACCGCAUACGUCCUACGGGAGAAAGCGGGGGACCUUCGGGCCUCGCGCCAUUAGAUGAGCCUAGGUCGGAUUAGCUAGUUGGUGAGGUAAUGGCUCACCAAGGCGACGAUCCGUAACUGGUCUGAGAGGAUGAUCAGUCACACUGGAACUGAGACACGGUCCAGACUCUACGGGAGGCAGCAGUGGGAAUAUGGACAAUGGGCGCAAGCCUGAUCCAGCCA